AACGAACGCUGGCGGCAGGCCUAACACAUGCAAGUCGAGCGAACCCUUCGGGGUUAGCGGCGGACGGGUUAGUAACGCGUGGGAAUAUACCCUUUGGUACGGAAUAGCCUCGGGAAACUGAGAGUAAUACCGUAUGUGCCCUUCGGGGAAAGAUUAUCGCCAAAGGAUUAGCCCGCGUUGGAUUAGGUAGUUGGUGGGGUAAUGGCCUACCAAGCCUACGAUCCAUAGCUGGUUUGAGAGGAUGAUCAGCAACACUGGGACUGAGACACGGCCCAGACUCCUACGGGAGGCAGCAGUGGGGAAUCUUAGACAAUGGGCGCAAGCCUGAUCUAGCCAUGCCGCGUGGACGAUGAAGGCCUUAGGGUUGUAAAGUCCUUUCAGAUGGGAAGAUAAUGACGGUACCAUCAGAAGAAGCCCCGGCUAACUCCGUGCCAGCAGCCGCGGUAAAGU
rnacentral:rRNA from 1 species